CAAGUAAAAAAAAAUUUCGAAAUGUACCCAAUUAACAAGAAUUUCGAAGGGUAUGGUACCUGGUACCAGAUGGUUCUACGUAUUUACGGAGAAAAGGAUAUAAGGUCGGGCGUCCAGAUCCGCGCUUUGGCGCGCCCAAUCAAUCCGGCAAGGGGGCUGCGUUUGGCGUCUCGCCUUAUGAAUCUUUUUGGCCCACUUCCUCCAGAGGUUUUAGAAGCCGUGACCUUCUUUUGUCUUCAAGGCAUAAAGCUUGUCUCGGAGCCUUGGGAGUUCGAUGCCGUGGUUACUCCUAAUAGUGGAGACUUGGAGAUUUUGAGAGUUGCCUUGAUGGAGGCGGUGUUUAACGGCUUGGUCACUAUGUCCUAGUGGCUAGGCGUAUCAGAUGUUGCUGGAUGGCUGACAGAUGACGUGAGUGCUAUGCCAUCUCAGCACUUCUGCAGUUGAAGUUAUUUAAUGAAUUUGUAGUUACUUAUUAGA